CCGUUGUACACACCGCCCGUCACACCAUGGGAGUUGGUUUUACCCGAAGGUGCUGUGCUAACCCGCAAGGGAGGCAGGCAACCACGGUAGGGUCAGCGACUGGGGUG
rnacentral:rRNA from 1 species